ensembl:lncRNA
CCAAGACUCAGCUUAUUAAUUUUUACAUCCCUUGGAGUCUGCCCACUCCUCCAUGGAAACCAUGGUUAUUCUAAAAUAUAAUUGUUUAUACCUUGCAACCCCCCCACCACCACCACCAGCAGCAGCACAAUGGAAACCUUAAAAGAAGGGGAUAUAGUGUCUAUCUUAUUCACAGCUGUAUCUUUAGUACCUUGAAAAAUUCUUAGCUAAUAUUAAGUAGUUGUUGAACAAAUGAGUAAACUUAUGAAUGAAUGAAUGAAUGAAUGAAUGAAUGAGAUGCUAUUAUGAUAGAGCUUCUGUUACCUCAUAGGAAAGACAAAUAAUGGGACAGGGAAUGUUCUUCAGAAAAAUGUUUCUGGGCCAAGAUUGAGUGGUAAUUAAGCACUACCUAGACAAAAGAAGGAAUGGGCAUUUUUGAGGAACUGGGAGCAACCUAGGGAGAGAAUUGAGAUGAUUGUGGUUGAAGAGAAAUCAACAAGUCAUCAUGCAGAGCCUAGGACUGAGAACAACGUCCUGGAAAGCAGAGCCAAUAUAUGAAGAGAAACCCAGUGCUGCAUCUUUACCUAUCCCAGGGUUUUUCAGGCAAAAGAAACAGACCCAGUUACCUCAAGAAAAUUUUAAAUGGGAGAGAAAUUUUUUCUCUAGCUUCAAGAAGAACAAGUAUCAGCACAUCUCCCAGAAUUUCUGCAGCAGGAACUCAUGGAGACGAUGCCAUCGAGUGAUUUAGCUCCUACUCCUUCCAUCCUUCCUUCUCUUUCUCAAGGCUUAAUUCCUAUGGGAGGAAGAUUCUGUUUGUCUCUACUUGGGGCAACCAUCUACUGUUGUGAUCAAGGGAGUAAAGUCGUGGAUGGAAAGCCUAUCAGAGAAAAUGCUGAGCAAAUGAAUCCCUGAGAUCCACAACAUCCUAUAAAUAGUCCUUAUUAAAUAAGUAAAUCAUAUAUGGAGUGUUAAUUUGCAGUUCCAUCCUACAAUCACUGGACAACACUAUUUCUCUAUUUCAACUUCAGGGGCUCCAAACCUCAAAAUGGCUGUACUUCGGUCAGAGCCUAUUUGAUUGAUAAGACAUGCAUUACAUUACAACUCAGACACUUGAAGAUUUCUAUCUUUAACAAACAUAGAAGCCAGAAUUGGGAAAUUUUCAUGCAUAACAUAUUUAAAACAGUUGUUCUUAGAAGUAUGUGUCCAAACAGUCUUCCAGAUUGACAUACUUCUCCUUGGGAAAGAUGUCCAAUUCCUUUUAAUGUUAAGUAAAUGAAUUGCAAAGGCUAGGUAAUACAAAAAUGAAUCUGGUGGUAACAGUGGGAAAAGCCAGUGAGAAGACUUCAUUCACCAGUGCUAUGAUUUAAAUAUGUCCACCAAAUUUAAUGUGCUGGAAACUUAAUCUCCAGAUUAUAGGUUGAUGGUGCUUGGAGGUUGGACCUUUAGGAGGUACUUAGGAUUGGAUAAGGUCAUCAGCCUGGAGCCUUCAUUAUGAGACUGGUAGCUUUAUAAGAAGAGGAACAGAGAGCUGAACCAGCAUACUCUUGUCCUCUCACUAUGUGAUGCCCAUCGUCACGUUAUGACUCAACAAAAGGGCUCUCACCAAAGGCUGGAGCCAUGCUUUUAAACUUUCCAGCCUCCUUAACAGUAAAAAAUAAACUUACUUAUCUUCUUUGUAAACUACCCAGUCUCUGAUAUUCACUUAUAGCAACAGAAAAUGAACUAGGGCAGCUGGAACUUGGGUUAGACCUAUUUGCUUUUUAUCAUUACAGUCAACAUUCAAAUACCUAAUCUGUUCCUAAAAGUCAGUUAGAGAUGACAGCCAAUGAUACCUUUUUCAAUGUCAAAGAAGACCACUGAAGCUGUUCUUACAAAGAUUUUUCCUAAAUUGAUUUUUACUCUAAAAUGAUG